UCCCUGGUGGUCCAGUGGUUAAGACUCUGCACUCCCAGUGCAGGGGGCAUGGGUUCUAUUCCUGGUCAGAGAA
rfam:TPA: Bos taurus chromosome 10, whole genome shotgun sequence.